rnacentral:rRNA from 1 species
GAUGAACGCUAGCGGCAGGCUUAACACAUGCAAGUCGAGGGGUAUAGUAGCAAUACUAGAGACCGGCGCACGGGUGCGUAACGCGUAUGCAAUCUACCUUUUGCAGAGGGAUAGCCCAGAGAAAUUUGGAUUAAUACCUCAUAGUAUAUAUGGAUGGCAUCAUUUAUAUAUUAAAGUCACAACGGCAAAAGAUGAGCAUGCGUCCCAUUAGCUUGUUGGUAAGGUAACGGCUUACCAAGGCAACGAUGGGUAGGGGUCCUGAGAGGGAGAUCCCCCACACUGGUACUGAGACACGGACCAGACUCCUACGGGAGGCAGCAGUGAGGAAUAUUGGUCAAUGGACGCAAGUCUGAACCAGCCAUGCCGCGUGCAGGAUGACGGCCCUAUGGGUUGUAAACUGCUUUUCCACGGGAAGAACCCUCCGACGUGUCGGAGACUGACGGUACCGUGGGAAUAAGCAUCGGCUAACUCCGUGCCAGCAGCCGCGGUAA